rnacentral:rRNA from 1 species
UUGCCCUAGUAACGGCGAGUGAAGCGGCAACAGCUCAAAUUUGAAAUCUGGUCUUCGGGCCCGAGUUGUAAUUUGUAGAGGAAGCUUUUGGCGCGGUACCUUCUGAGUCCCCUGGAACGGGGCGCCAUAGAGGGUGAGAGCCCCGUAUAGUUGGAUACCAAGCCUGUGUAAAGCUCCUUCGACGAGUCGAGUAGUUUGGGAAUGCUGCUCAAAAUGGGAGGUAAAUUUCUUCUAAAGCUAAAUACCGGCCAGAGACCGAUAGCGCACAAGUAGAGUGAUCGAAAGAUGAAAAGCACUUUGAAAAGAGGGUUAAAUAGCACGUGAAAUUGUUGAAAGGGAAGCGCUUGUGACCAGACUUGCGCCGGGCUGAUCAUCCGGUGUUCUCACCGGUGCACUCUGCCCGGCUCAGGCCAGCAUCGGUUCUCGCGGGGGGACAAAGGCCCUGGGAACGUAGCUCCUCCGGGAGUGUUAUAGCCCAGGGCGUAAUGCCCCCGCGGGGACCGAGGUUCGCGCUCUGCAAGGAUGCUGGCGUAAUGGUCACCAGCGACCCGUCUUGAAACACGGACCAAGGAGUCAAGGUUUUGCGCGAGUGUUUGGGUGUAAAACCCGCACGCGUAAUGAAAGUGAACGUAGGUGAGAGCUUCGGCGCAUCAUCGACCGAUCCUGAUGUAUUCGGAUGGAUUUGAGUAGGAGCGUUAAGCCUUGGACCCGAAAGAUGGUGAACUAUGCUUGGAUAGGGUGAAGCCAGAGGAAACUCUGGUGGAGGCUCGCAGCGGUUCUGACGUGCAAAUCGAUCGUCAAAUCUGAGCAU